rnacentral:rRNA from 1 species
AAUGAACGUUGGCGGCGUGGAUUAGGCAUGCAAGUCGAGCGAGAACCGUAGCAAUACGGGGACAGCGGCGAAAGGGACAGUAAUGUGUAGGUACCUACCCCUGGAUCUGGGAUAGCUGCGGGAAACUGCAGGUAAUACCGGAUAAUGUCUCCGGACCAAAGGUGUGAUUCCGUCUGGGGAGGGGCCUGCAUCCUAUUAGCUAGUUGGCGGGGUAAUGGCCCACCAAGGCGACGAUGGGUAGCGGGUGUGAGGGCACGACCCGCGUCAUUGGGACUGAGACACGGCCCAGACACCGACGGGUGGCUGCAGUGGAGGAUCUUCGGCAAUGGGCGAAAGCCUGACGGAGCGACGCCGCGUGCGGGAUGAAGGCCUUCGGGUUGUAAACCGCUGUCGUAGAGGAGGAAAUGCAGGUGGGUUCUCCCAUCUGUUUGACCUAUUCUAGGAGGAAGUACGGGCUAAGUUCGUGCCAGCCGCCGCCGUAA